UACGAAGGGGGCGAGCGUUGUUCGGAAUUACUGGGCGUAAAGGGCGCGUAGGCGGCCGAUCAAGUUAGAUGUGAAAGUCCUGGGCUUAACCUGGGGACUGCAUUUGAUACUGAUUGGCUUGAAUUCGGGAGAGGAUAGCGGAAUUCCCAGUGUAGAGGUGAAAUUCGUAGAUAUUGGGAAGAACACCGGUGGCGAAGGCGGCUAUCUGGACCGACAUUGACGCUGAGGCGCGAAAGCGUGGG
rnacentral:rRNA from 1 species